GACCGUCGGUGUCCAGACGCUCGGACCUGAUGAAAUCUAAACUAAAAGGAUCAGGUUAAAAUUUUAGGAGGAUUCAAUAUGUGACUCUAAACCCUUUCAGGUAAAAAUUCUAGGAGGGUUCAAUAUGCGGCUCUAAACCCCUACAGGUUCAGGUUCUGUCUAGGCAAAUCGGGCUGGAAGCAAAUUUACCCAUAGAAUUCUAGUCUCGAAUACCCCUUCAGGUCAAAAUUCUAGAUUUCUUGUGAGAUUGCGAAUAAAUCCUGUUCUUGUUACAUCUUCGGUUUGUUAAAAAAAAAAGAAAGAUUUCUGGGGUUUUUGGCUAUUUACGAUUACGAAAAUUUCACCAGCUCUUCAUAUAAUGCUUUUUGGCUCUUUUAGUCUUCUGUACUCUGAUUCGCCCCAAUGAAAUUAUCACCAUUAGCAGUCAGAUUCCACCUCUCAUUUCUUCUUACAGAUUCCUUGAAAACUUGUAUCCCUGUUGAGUUGAUAAUCUCUUUGUAUUUCCUUAUGGAUUUCUUGAUAAUGCCUCUGGCUUGUAGAAAAUUUGUUCAAUUCCAAAGGCCACUGUUAGCUCAGCAAGUUUUGUUCAGCUGUUAUAUUUUGAAAUUUUUUUUCUCUCACUUCGUUAAUAAGAGAAAUUAGCUUCGGAGAACAGACGGGAGGGAACCCAUCUCAAGAGCUUAUUGCAACCAGCAAGUGCUUAAAGGAAAAAACCUCAGUUCCAAUUGCGCAAGUGGUACUUUAGCAGGCAAGAAUUGAAGAUUGUUCCCCUUCUAAAUGGACGGAAUUGACUUUGAGAAAGAGUCUCCACUAUAGAAGUUUUACUGCUCAUUCAUUAACAUCUUUGCAAGAAGCUUAAAGGGUAAGCUUAGGAUAUUGCACAUAUUACUGGGUAUUUGCACUCUGAGAGAGAGUCUUAGUCGUUUGUUUUUGGCUCUUACUGUAUCUGAUGCUUUCUGGUUCAGUGCUUCCAUUGGCAUUGCAUAUUAACCUCUCUGAGAUGUUCAUUAUAAUGACAGUAUUAGUAAAAGAUAGUUCCCGUUAUUGCUUCAGUUUUUAGAUUAGGUACUUCGUUAGCAAUGCCUGCUAAUUCAUUCAAUAAAAGGUUUGCCCCCUGUUGUUGUAGAAUUUCGUCUACCACACUGUCUCAUGCAUUUCCUUUGUCAAAUCUAUUUGUUUUGAAUUGCUUACCAGCGUGUAUCUCGUAGCUGACUGGUUGACAUUGGAUUUGGACCUUUUUUCUUUUAUAUGGUUAUAUUCUUCAGACCUUGCUGCGAUUAAACCUGCACAGAUGAUUUUUUCCAUGGAAAUUUUUUAACUUUCACAUUGAUAGCAAAUCAAUUUUCAUUUUUUAACAGAUGCUGAAUCUGUGAUCCUCUGUUCAAGAGAGAAUCAACAUACCUAAAAUGGUUGAUGUGCAAACUUCUCAACUAGUUUCAAUGAUCAACCCUGAGAAAGUGUUGCUCUAUAGUUGUCUAUUAUGAUGUUAUCCUUCUCAUGAUGUGAUUCCCAUGGAAUAGAAACUAUUUUCCUUUCCUUAUAGCCUUUGGCAACUCAUAUUCACCUAGAUGGUGAUCACUGAUGUCUGCCUUUCAGACCCCAGGUGACGAUACUAUGUCCAUUGAUCUUAUGCCAGCAGUUUUACAUGCAUCACUGUCAUGCAAAGAAGGAUUGGCAGUUACCCGUUGCACCCUAACAUGACAUUUCUUUUCCUAUUUCUGAGUACUAUAUGUUUAGAAUGACUAAUGUUUAUUUGUUGAGGAAAAAAACUUGGUGCAUAAUGUAAGCAUCCUUUAUAUCAAACUUGCAGAUGAGAUGAUGUGUUUGUUCUUUAUUGUUAUUAAAUGAUUUCUUUACAACACUCAUACACACAUAAAAAGAGAGAUAGAGAGAGCUUCCUCUGUGGUAUUUUGCAUGUCAAAGUAGGAAGAUAUUAGGGUUCUUGAUCCCUAACAGAGAAAUUAGACAGUAGAAAAGGAUCGGAAUAUAGCAGAGAGAGAACUAGAAUUUAGAGAGAAAAGAAUAGAGAAAGAUAGAGAGAACUGAGUUAUAUCCUAGAUAUUUCUGGUUAGUUUUUGUAGUUACAAUAGCUGUUAUUUCUACAGAUUUAGAUCUAUCUAGUAACAAUUCCUGCUACUUUCUAACUAACUCAACAACUUCAGUUCGAUUCCUAACACCUGCUAAGUACUUGCAGUUCCCACUACCCAUCUAAUUCCCUUCUAUGCACAAUCUCAUCUCUGCUUCAAUAUUGAAGGUUUUGUUUGUGAAUAUGUACUGCUUCUUAUGUAUUCUUUUUAUUCAUUUCAACUGAAUUAAGGUUUGGCAGUUGUUUGUGAAUAUAUUGGUUUGAUUAUUUUAUUGUUUUUCAUUAUUGACAGUUGUGAAAAUUUGCAGAAAAUGGAAACUGCAGGCAUGUUUCUCGCUUGCAAAAUAGAAGAAAACCCACGCUUGCUGUGUGAUGUUGUUGUUGUGGAUUAUGAUAUGAAAAAUAAAUGGGAUUAUUCUGCCACAAAGAAUCCAGACAAUAGAAAUUUGUGAUAAGCAGAAGGAAUUGAUCACAAGCAGGGAGAGGUUAUUAUUGGCAACAGUUGCAUUUGAUCUCAAUAUCCAACUCCACUACAGGCUACUUGUUAAUGCUUUAAAUAAACUGAAUAUAUUCCCAGAUCUUGCAAAAGUAGCAUGGAAUUUUGUGAAUGACUGGCUUUGUACAACAUUGUGUUUGCAGUACAAACCCCAUUAAAUUGCAGCUGUUUCGUUGUUCCUUGCUGCCAAAUUUCAAAAAGUAUAACUGCCUAUAGAAAAGGGAAGGGUUUGGUCGCUGGAGUUUUGAUAUUUCAGUCAAGCAAUUAUGGGGUACAUUGAUUAUCCCCUUUGUUCUAUAUUACUAUAUAUGAAUCUUGGAAAUCCACGGUCAUGAAAAUGUCUAUCAAGGACAGUUGACAGUACUAGUACAUAUCAUUGUUAUAUUUUAAUUUAAAUUGGAAGCUGCUGACGAAGGUUAAAGAUAUGGAACAUGUGAAGGUUAAUUCCUUUAGUUCAAUUCAUAUAUUUUUGUAUUGAGAGACUGUACUCAGCAUACAGUUACGUUGAACGGAUAAUAUUUCCUAUGUCAUUAGUUGAUGUUUAGUUGAGAGACGGUCAGGGUUUUAGAGCAAGACAAGAAACAAGCUGUGGCUUUACCACAUUAGAGGUAGUGACUACUGAGUGGCCCUUCAUUUGGAAAAAUGAAUACCAGUAGGACCCACAAUAAAAAAUUAUUAGUGUAUCAAAUUGCUAGUUCACAUUCUAGUGGCUGAGCUUUGAUAGGAUAUCAGGCCUUGAGUGAGAGAAAUUUUGGUCUGAAACAAUCAAUAUUGUUGAUGACGAUGGUGAGGAGUAAACCAAGAAAAUGCUAGCUGUAAGAUUGUCCCAGUUCAAGAUUCUUAUAGUAAGAUUGAUGCUAACCAGAUUAGAGAGGCAUUGAGGAGGAGGCAUGAAGGUGCUGCAAAUCAAAUGUCUGGUGAAAUCAUGAACACUGAAUUAAGCGGUGAAGCUUGGAUGAAGAGGGAGCUGAGAAUGGAAUAGAGCUUGAACCAACUUGUUCCAAAAAGAAACAAAGAACGUUAUGAUGAGGUUGUCAAUUAAAUUAUCCUGAGUUACAUGCUAAUGACUAGAAUUCUUCCUUAAUAUCUGUAAGUUUCAGGAUCAUUUUGUAUGGAAGACAUUGCAAAAUUACAGACUCCAUGACAUUGUGCUGCAAGAAUAAUGGCCAGGUAGAUGCAGCGUUAUUAUGUACAGCUUUUUAGAGAGUGGAGCCAAUUCUGUGUGUGUUUUCUGUACUGACUGCCAGAAGUAAUAAAUUGCAUAAAUCAUUUUAUGUGAAUGAGAAAGCAAUGAUAUUAUCAUCAUGGUUUGUGUUGGCGUAUUAAGCUUUUAAUCAUUUCUUAAAAGACACAUGCAAAUGGCUUUUGUUAGGAAUUCAAAUUAAGUUGCAUUUACUUUGUAUCUGAAAUGAUGGAGAGGAUUAACAAGGACGGAGGAUUUUGAAUUUCAUAUUAUAUCAAGCUGAAAUCUAAUAGGCCUAUAAAGACAAACAUUUAGCGGCCGACCCUCAUCUUCCUUACUUUUUUUUUCCUUGUCAAGAAAAGGAUGAAAAAAAAAAUCAGAGAAAGUGCUUGUGAAAUUGAUGAGAAGGACAAGUAUUCACCGAUCUUUUCUCUUUUCCAGUUCACUUUCUCAGGACCUUUUGCACUUUCAGCCUUUCACCAUAUCUUUUUCACUUUUCCAACUUCAAACAAGACAUAAAAUCUGUUUAUUUCUUUCUCUCAUUAAUCAUUCACUUUCAUUUUUAUUUUUCUUGCUGAUCAAAGCCCUCAAAGCAAAGGAAAAAGUUGAAGAAAUCAAGAAGCAAGCCAGAUAAUAAAAGUUUCAAGUUCCACACAAACUAAACCAAAAAUUAAACUCAACCCAGAUGAGCAUAGACAAGAAUGUGUGGGGAAACAUGCAUGUGGUAUUCAAAAUUGGUGCCACUCUGC